AGAUAUGUGGCAAGGAGUUAUAGUCCUCGACAGCUUGCUACAGCUGCAGUUGGUAUUCCAGUGUUUGAGAUCUUUGUUACAAAGAACAGGAUAGGUGAAUACAAGCAGCAGGUAUCCUCCUUGUCUAACUCACGUAUUUUUGGUAUAGUUCAGUGAAUAAGUUAUAAACUUUUGACUGUGAGAUUUAAUUUAUUUAUUUCAUAAGCAAACAGAGCAUUCCAGGCAACAAGGAGUUGCCAAGUGCCAGCCUGUAUGCAAGAUAAAAUUCUUCAAAGGAAAGAUUGCAGAAGUGUAAGGCAGCUUGGAUAUUCCUAAAUUGCUCCCACUGAACUGAAAAUCCAACUUAUUUGGUCAUCUAUCUUUUGAGCUUGGACUUGGGAUAAUUCCUCCCAAAACAAAUUUCCUGUCAUUCAAAAAAUAUUUACUGCAGUUAAAUCUGUCAAUCUUGUCUGUAUGAUAAUAUUUGUCUCUAUAUUAUAACCACUAUGUUAAAUCUACAAUAGGCCAAAUGUUGUAACAUGCACUGUUACCAGGAUUGUAGUAGUAAUUGCAAUCCAAUACGUCUGGACUCAAAGUCUCAAACCUUGACCCUUGGAGGAGCAAAAUGCCUUUUUAAAAUCCUUUGGCUUUUAUCCGAACUCCAUAAUGUUUAAACAUUUUUCCAUGAGGGAAGCAAAAUGCUCACCUUGGUCUUUGACCUUCAAAUUUACUUAGCUCAUCUUGUGCAUCAAUCAUUAUGUACUGGUUUAUUUUAGACUUGUAUACAUAAGCAUGUGCUUGCAAACAUGGAGAGAUGCAGGCACGCUUAUUUGUAUGCGUGUAUUCUUCCAUAGAUGCAUGUACUUGUCUGCUCAUAUCCUAUCUAGAUGUGGCAUUGUUGCAUUGAUGCUUCUGGUUCAAUGUGUCAGAAACAUUCUCUGAUGAGAUUCAUGUGCCUUUUUAGGCUGUGUACUUGAAAAGGAAAGCAUUUUUCCAAGACUCUUCAACAGUGUCCUCGAAAUCACCAGGUGCCACCAGCCACUUGAAUCCACCAGGGCCAAUUGAAGAAAAAAGUGAUCUAUUUGUUGUGAGCACUGAGGACAUUGAGGAUGGCGAUGAUACAGAAGAUGGUUCUGAUCUCAAUGAUGGAUUGCCUGGUUUUCAGAAUAUUUUGCGAGAUAUGAUUCCUGGUGUGAAGGUCAAGGUCUUGAAGGUGACAGCUCCUGCAAAGGUGGAUAGGGAUUUCAUAUCUAAGGUGAUAGAGCAGAUAAUGGAUGAAGAAGAUGACGAGAAGGAUAUUGAGUUAGAAAGCAUAGAGACAGAAGAUGAAAUUAGAGGUGAAAGCGACCAAGAAAGAGAUGAGAUUGAAAUGGAUGCCACUGAUGGCAUCAUUGAUAAUGAAGGGCCAAGUGAAAUUUCAGUUAAAGUUGUUGUUGGAGGUCUCACUCAAAAACUUUCAGGAAGCACACCUAUGAAACAGUCACUCAGAGUGCCUGCUAAGCUAGAGAAAAAGGGACGGAGGUCAUUUUGCUUUUCUAUUGAGAAAGAUGUGAACCAACAGGGUUCUGGUGCCAAGGAAGCAGGCUCGGUUAAAAAAGCAAAGUUUCAAGGUCAACGCAGUGUGGACAGCAUUAUGUUGGAUCUUGCUAAAUUUAUUGGUAGGGAGAAGAUACCCUUGAAGGUGCUGAAAGAUGUUGGCGACUUAAUAAAUUUUACCCUUAGUCAAGCUCAAAAUCGUCAACCACUGUCUGGAUCAACAACUUUCCAUCGGAUUGAAAUAUCAACAUCUCUAGACCCUCUAAAUGGACUUUAUAUUGGGGCUCAUGGACUGUACACCUCAGAAGUCAUACAUCUACAACGUAAAUUUGGUCAAUGGCAAGAUGAGCGUGGGACCAAGGAGCCUUCUAAUCUAGAGUUUUAUGAAUAUGUUGAAGCUAUAAAAUUAACUGGAGAUCCAUACCUACCUGCUGGACAGGUGGCAUUUCGUGCUAAGGUUGGAAAAAGGUAUCAGCUUCCUCAUAAAGGCAUCAUUCCUGAAGAAUUUGGAGUGAUUGCUCGGUAUAGAGGACAAGGGAGGCUUGCUGAGCCUGGUUUUCAGAAUCCUCGAUGGGUUGAUGGUGAACUUGUUAUUCUUGAUGGAAAGUACAUCAAAGGGGGCCCUGUUGUUGGGUUUGUAUAUUGGGCUCCUGAAUAUCACUUAUUGGUGUUUUUCAACCGCCUGAGGCUUCAAUAAUAGAUGCCCGUGUAUAUAAUGUUCAAGCUUGUCUAUUCUUUCAUUGUAUUUUAUGAGUCUGCCAAUUUGUUCUUCAACUUGAGCAGCAUAUUAGGUAUUGAAAUCCGGCCACAUGUCCAAUGCUCACUCAACUAACUGUUGCAUAUGUAAACAUAUUGACUUGGUGAAAUUAACCCAGAAGCUUUGAGAUGCAGUAGGUAUUCAGCUUUGAGAUGCAUGACUUCUGAGCUGCCAUUUACAGCAGCUUAUGCGCUUAAAUUUUUUGUUGGAUAAUCUAAUCUUUAUCAAUUUCUAGCGAUUAGCACUUUCCAAGUUAUCAUACAACAGGAGAGUAGGUUCUACGCUAGAAUUGUCUUUCACAAUUUUAUUGGUCCUAAAUAGAUAUGGCUGGAAAUGUGCAAUCUUUAUGUAGAGACUAGUGCAGUCAGGACAUGUGGAAAGGCUUAUUUCAGAGAGCAGUAGUCGAAUGAGCUCAUUUACAUUUAAAUGCAUUGUAGUUUUCCCCCCUUCUCAUCAUGAUACAUGAAUGAAAAACUUAAAACGUUGUUUUCAGCUCUUCUUUCAGUUGGUUCAUUUGCUUGCUGCAUAUUAAGAAGCAAAUGGAGAAGACAACAUGCCAGUAUAGUUAUGGAGUUGAUUUAUGCAUUUUCAAAGCCUGUGAUUGACACACUCUGUUUUCGCUCUUAUUGCUUGAACCAGUUUAUGCAAGCUGGAGAAUGAAAUUACAUGUAGG
rnacentral:misc_RNA from 1 species